UGUCUUGAGCAGUUAAAAGAUAGAACGGUCUAGUCAAGCGCCAUGUCUCUUGUUCUUCGAUUAACUAUAGCUCUGGAGUUUUUGCAGAUUUUCAGAUAAAACUCAGAGAUUCCUUGUAUGACUCUCUCUAGUCUCUCUUUUGUGGUAUUUUUGGAUCCUUACCAAGGCAGUAAUGAUGUAUGCCUACUCUCAAAGUAUGUGAUAUUUUUGGUAUGAGGCAUAGUGGUAUUGCUUUCUCUCUCAUCCUACUCUAAUAAGGCUUUUGAUAUCUGGAGCUCAUAGGUGGGAGACAGCUAAUACAUACUUACAAGACAUUUAUUGCAUAGUCAAACCAUGGAUCCAGAAGAACAAGUCAAUAAGUCAAAUCAAGAUGUGCAUUUGUGGUGAAUGAAUGGUGUAUGGUGAUGAUGGUGAUAACAAUGGUGAAAGUCUAAUUCUACUUAUGCUCUUUUGACGGGAUACAUACCUUUCUUGCUCUUUUAAAACUUUUUGAGGAGAAUGAGAUGCUCUAUAUUUUCUUUUUCUUUUCUCUCAGGUGGGUAUCUUGUACCACUAAUUCUACUAUCGGACACUUGUCCAUUUUUACCUCUCGUCUCACUUUUUCCUUUCUUUCGAGGUUCCGGACACUUGCCCCUUUUUAUUUCCUCGUAUUCACUUUUUUUUAUGAGCACUCACCCUCUUGAAAUAAUGUAGCAAGUGGUAGUAACCAAAAUAUCUCAAGCAUUUAUUUCACGGGGAAUAACAAGGAUAGGAUAAUGUUUUUGGCUAUUCUCUCUUGGAUUAGGAGUAGAAUAUUUUUGGGUGGUUCUGGAGAUGGAAAUGGGUGGAUAUAUGUGGAUGCGUACUUUCGGAGUAGAAGCAGCAUGUGUGAGUGAACGUGCAAGUGAAUCUUGAUUUUAACCACAUGACAAGCUCCUAAGGGUCUACACAGCUUGACCACACUCAGUGCUCAUAAGAAGUAAAAAGUAAAUAUGUGGCUCAAAGUCUAGCAAGCAUGUAUAUAUGGCUGUGGUAGAAAUUUAAACUCUCAUCAUACAGGAACUCAUCAUGUGAUAUUUUAAAGAUUUUCAAAGAUAAAAUCCUCCAGAAUUCUAGCAUCUCUAGGAACAGAUAAACAGCAGCUCAGCAUUCCCAUAUCAUAUCCGUUAACAACUUAGACUUUAGAUCAAGUACUCUUCCCACAAGUUCAGGUUUAGAGCAAAUCUUAAUUAAUAACAGUCAUGCCUAAACUUGAUAGAGAUUUCAAUUUUGAGAACUAGUCAUGGCAGAGCGACUAUUCAUCAUUUCCAUGUGAGAGCAUAUCAUGAGGGUUCAUAGCAAACUUUAUUUAUUUAUUUAUUUAGCAAACUAAGCAAAGAUAUAUAUAAGCACAAAAUCUUUAUUUGGGUUUAUAUGAUUAUGCAUCUUUUUAUUAUCAGAGUAAAGUAUAAACGUGAGUAGAAUACUUAGCUGGAUAAAUGGGGGUGCUCUCCCCCAAGCUGGAUUUUGACGUAAUUUCUUCUGAUGUAGCUAGCAGGUGGUGGAGGUGUAUUUGAAUGUCGGCAGCACCCUGACAGUGAUUAGGAUGUCCUCUGUCUGCUAGUCUUCUUUGAUCCUUGAAUUCUGUGAAGCUCAAAUAGACAACAAAGCUUUGUGGAACUAGUUAAGUGUUAGCAUAAAUAUCUAGCCUUUAUCAUAUUGAGCCUCCUCAAUUUAUGUUACUCUCUUUAGUAGGAUCACAAUCUUAUUUUUAUAUUUUCAUUUUUAUAGGACAGGAAUAUAUUUAUUUUAUUUUUACGGCACCACAGUGAAUGUACUUAUGGGUUUUAUGCCAUGAGCAUACUCACAUGGGGCUUACUAUUUUUAAAAUUUUUAUUUUCUAUUCAAGAUGAUAUGAACGUGAUUAACUAAGCAAAAAAAUUGAAGGGAAAAGGAUAACUACCAAGUUUACCUCUUGGCAAGGCGUUCAGUGUUUUUAAGUCCUCCGAACGGGACUCUCUGUUUUCUCAGUCGUCCUGGGAUUCGCUGGAUGGCGUAGUCGGUGUUGAUAUUUGGGAACGCAAUAAGGAAUUAAUCCGCAAGCGCACGGAUAUCGGUGAGCACUUCACCCAGGAGGUUAUCUAGAGUAUCGUAUUUAUUUUUUUACCACUAGGAGAAAGAGUGCAUCUGACUAACCCAGUCUAUUACUACUAACCCUUUAGGCAACAAAGCAUGUUUCUCGAUGUGAGUGAUAAAUAGAGAAGACUGCAACCGUAGUCUCCUUCUAACCUUGGUAAGGAUGAUCUACUGUUCUAUUGGGGAGGCUAACGGAAUCUAGACACCACAAAGGAUGUUCAACCCGCACCUAUAAACCCUAUCCUUCCUGCUAACG
rnacentral:lncRNA from 1 species